rnacentral:sRNA from 1 species
UCCGGGCGGACGCCGAGUCCUGCCGCCGCCUGGAUGACCGGUCGACAGGAGUGGAUCGGCAGGAGUGGAGGACCCAAGCACGACGGGUCGCCGGGACGGUCACGCCAUGACCGGGCCCGAGCAGCCCUUGGGGUGAAGCCGCGUCAGCGGCCGGGCAACUUCGCCAGCCCGAAUCCGACAGGUCAUCCUUCACAGGCGGCUGACGAAGGGUUG